UUAGAGGAAGUAAAANUNGUAACAAGGUUUCCGUAGGUGAACCUGCGGAAGGAUCAUUA
rnacentral:rRNA from 1 species